UACGGAAGGUCCGGGCGUUAUCCGGAUUUAUUGGGUUUAAAGGGAGCGUAGGCCGGCUUUUAAGUCAGCUGUGAAAGUCCGCGGCUCAACCGUGGAAUUGCAGUUGAAACUGGAGGCCUUGAGUGCACACAGGGGUGCCGGAAUCCAUGGUGUAGCGGUGAAAUGCUUAGAUAUCACACAGAACACCGAUUGCGAGGGCAGCUUUCCAAGCUAUUACUGACGCUGAGGCACGAAAGCGUGGGGAGCGAACAGG
rnacentral:rRNA from 1 species